GGGUCAAUGAUGAGAAUUCAGGUAUCUUGAAGAGAUGAUGACUUAAAAAUCAUGCUCAAUAGGAUUACGCUGAGGCCC
ensembl:snoRNA SNORD115 Small nucleolar RNA SNORD115